GUAGGUGGCAAGCGUUGUCCGGAAUUAUUGGGCGUAAAGCGCGCGCAGGUGGUUCUUUAAGUCUGAUGUGAAAGCCCCCGGCUAAACCGGGGAGGGUCAUUGGAAACUGGGGAACUUGAGUGCAGGAGAGGAAAGUGGAAUUCCACGUGUAGCGGUGAAAUGCGUAGAUAUGUGGAGGAACACCAGUGGCGAAGGCGACUUUCUGGCCUGUAACUGACACUGAGGCGCGAAAGCGUGGGGAGCAAACAGGAUUAGAUACCCUGGUAGUCCACGCCGUAAACGAUGAGUGCUAAGUGUUGGGGGGGUUUUACCCGCCCCCCCUCAGUGCUGCAGCUAACGCAUUAAGCACUCCGCCUGGGGGUAGUACGGUCGCAAGACUG
rnacentral:rRNA from 1 species